CUUCAACCAAACGGCGCCUGACCCUCCCCAACACACCUCUGCCCGCGCGCCUACUACCCCAAACUCGCCGGAACUCGUCCAAACCCGGCGAGUUAACUCAUAUGGUCCCCCCUCAUCAUUAGCAUCUGAUUUUAAUGCGUUUUCUUCUCAUCUCACGUGCUCUUCUCAAUUUCUUUGAAGAAUCCGAGCCAUUCAUAAAUGGAUGAUAGUUAAAUGGGAGCCAUAAGAUCGAGAUCUUUGGAUCCUAAGCGUUCAUUUGCCUAAAACCCGUUUACACAAAAAAGGCUUUCGGAUUUUUUGGGGAUUUUCAGAUUUUGGAGAUAAAAAUCGGUUUUCUCGGAAAAGAGGAGAAGAAGAUUCGGGAGGGGAUAUAUAUUUGGAAGUUUUCAGACAGUCUUGAGGAGGAAAAAAGAAAUCAGAAAAUCGGGAAGGAGGAAGUUCUAGGGUUUUGAUUUUGAUUUCCAGAUUUUUCUCUUCUAAUUUUUGGUUUUCGUUUUCCAUAUAUAUAUAUAUAAUAAUAAAAACAAAAAAAGGAGGAGUUCUUUCUAGUUUCACUUUUGCUUUUAAGUCAAAAAAGACAAAAAAAAAAGAAGCGGUUUUCUUCUUUUGGAUUUUUGAUUCUUGGUUUUCCUUCUAGACCUCCGUUUUAGUUCAUUCAAAAUUUGUUCACUUGAAUUUGAAUUUCACUUCAAAAAUCAGAAAACAAAAACUAUAUAGUGAGUAAAAAAGAUUCUAUUUUCUUCACUUCUAUUUCGGAUUCGCAAUUCAACUAUGGAGUUGAAGCUGUCUUUCGAGGUCUGCUCGAGGUCUGCUCGUGGUUCCUUUUACGUCUCGAAUUUCAGUAGCGGAUUUUUCUUUCAAGCUCAUGCUUGGUUUUAUGCUGAUUGUACCAUAUUCGAACAUCGAAGGAUAAUCGAAAUUCCAGUUUUCAGGAACAAGCUGAUACUUUUGCAUCUAAAGAAGUUGCAAUAUCCUUGGGGCUCGCCAACCAACCUUACCAUGAGCCAUCCUACAUUCAGGUUCUCUCUGCUCAAUUGAGUUGCUCGAUAAAGCAAUAUCAAUUGAGCACCAGUAGUAUCGCGGUAUCACAAAAUGUGUGAAGAGGGAAAUUGCAUUUGGUUUAUUUCCAGCACAACUUGGAAGAUAUGUGAUUUAUACUGUGAUUGCAGUUUAUUUUUCUUUGAUGAUCCUCCAAGAAAAGAAAUUGAACAUCAACUAAGGUCUAGGCAGUUUUUGGCUGAUCCUUCUUCAGUAAUUGAAUGUCAGAGCAUCUACAAUCUUGGUACCCAUGUCACGACGAAUCUGAAAAUUGACGGCAAGAGCAUCAGAGUAAAUAUAAUACACAGUUUUUUUCUUUCCUUUUUUUUGGGAGGGUGGGGGUGGGGAGGGGGAUAGGCAGCAAACUCAGCAUUUGUUACAAAAUAUGAUACUCCGUUGAUUGUAAUUCUCAAUACAUGAAAAUUCGAUGUAAGCUAUCAAAUACUUAAUCCAGAAACUGCUAUUUUAACUUGUAAGGAAGGAAAAGGAUUUCAAACGUUGCUAUCAAUGUAAAUAUGAUGUAAUUCUGUUGAA